rnacentral:rRNA from 1 species
UCUUCCACAAUGGACGAAAGUCUGAUGGAGCAACGCUGCGUGCAGGAUGAAGGCUUUCCCCGCCCCACACUGCUUUUGUUAGCGAAGAAUUUGACGGUAACUAACGAAUAAGGAUCGGCUAACUCCGUGCCAGCAGCCGCGGUCAUACGGAGGAUCCAAGCGUUAUCCGGAGUGACUGGGCGUAAAGAGUUGCGUAGGUGGUUAUAUAAGUGAAUAGUGAAACCUGGUGGCUCAACCACACAGACCCCCCCCUCAAACUGUAUAACUCGAGAAUGGUAGAGGUAGCUGGAAUUUCUAGUGUAGGAGUGAAAUCCGUAGAUAUUAGAAGGAACACCAAUGGCGUAGGCAGGCUACUGACCAUUCUACAUAAGGCACGAA